UACAGAGGUCUCAAGCGUUGUUCGGAUUCAUUGGGCGUAAAGGGUGUGUAGGUGGCGCGCUAAGUCGGGUGUGAAAUUUCGGAGCUUAACUCCGAAACUGCAUUCGAUACUGGCGUGCUUGAGGACUGGAGAGGAGACUGGAAUUUACGGUGUAGCAGUGAAAUGCGUAGAUAUCGUAAGGAAGACCAGUGGCGAAGGCGGGUCUCUGGAUAGUUCCUGACACUGAGACACGAAGGCCAGGGGAGCAAACGGG
rnacentral:rRNA from 1 species